GUUGCGCUGGUUUGUAUACCUCUGACAAUAGUACCUUUUGAAUUUUGACCUAUGUAUACAAACACACACACACACACACACACACAAGUAUUAAUACUGAGUAAUACUGAGGGUCGGGGGAAUGCUCAGACAGAGUUACCCAAGUUCGCAUAAUUUGCCAUGGUGAGAGUUGGACCUCAGGUUUCCUUACUUCUGUCUGAAGGUUUUUUUCCAAUAUGCUGUGAUUACUUUUUCAUCUAUUUGAAGAUAUUUACUGCUUUCAUGACUGAGUAUUCUGGUUUUUGAUAUUUGAAGGUGAAUCCUUUAGAUUUAGGGGCAUGGGGGCCACUUGUGUAAGGUCAAUGAUGUUUCCUCACAUAUUAAUGCAACUUUUCUCUAAUAUUCCAUGCAAGAUAUAGUAUAUAGAGAGGCAACCAUGUGUAUCAUGCAAAUUGAGAAAGACUUGGAAACUGUCCCAUCCAAAAGUACUCAUCUAUUAAUCUGCUCAAAGAAAUGUGAAAGAAAACUUAGAAGAAAUCCUACUACUGUGUAGUAUCUCUUAAGUAAAAUGCAAAUAUUUCUAGGAGAGGUACUCUUGAAAUGGGAGAAUUCCCUGGCUACCCUUACAGGACAUGCAACAGGGCUAUUGCUCAUGUGUUGGGUCACCACACACUCAAACCCCUAACAGGAGGGAGAGCACACAGAGGGGCAGGCACAGGAGCUAGGGCAAGUGCCUUGAGGCUCCAGCCCCAUGGCAACAUCUGGGGUGGGUGCCUGUGACUCCCAAAGCCCAAGUGGGCAUGGCAUGUGUUAUAGCGUGCUCUUUUAGCUUUGCUGUCCACAGAUGGCUUAAGUGUUAACCAGUUCAGUGGAUCUUCUGCCUUUUUGCAAGGGCAGACGGCCAGUGUGACAGCUUUCUGUAUCCCAAGCUCUUGUCCAACAUCCCGGAAGAAUCAGGUCACACACGGACUUGAAGGGUAGUGAAUGUGGGGGUUUUACUGGGUGGUGGAGGUGGCUCUCAGUGGGAUGCAUGGGGAGCUAGAAGGGGGAUGGAGUGGGAAGAUGAUCUUCCCUUGGAGUUCAGAUGCUCUUUCUCUUCUCUGCCACACCAUUCUGCUGUUCUUCUGCUCUUCUGUUCAUCUUCUCAUCUCCUUGUCUGCUCAUCUGCUUCUGGAGCCUGAGGUCUGUUAUAUGGGUACAGGAUAGGGGGGUCAAAAGACAACUUCUGGGACAUGAAAACAGGAAUGCCUGUUCCCAUUUAGGGCCUCGAGUAGCUAGGCUUGAGGAUGGAGCCUUUGCUGGGAAACCAUCCUCUUCUACCUAGUAUCUCUCCAUCUCCUGACUAUAUUACUAUUACACUGUCAACAACUAUUAUUAACUCCUGAAAAAAUGAAUUUAACAGAUUCCUGCUUCCAGGUCAGAUUCUAAGAGCAGGCUUCUACA
rnacentral:lncRNA from 1 species